GCUGGGCACGGUGGAGCACGCCUGUAAUCCCAGCAGUUUGGGAGGCUGAGGCAGGAGGAUCAUGAGUUCAAAGCCAUCCUCAGCAACUUAGCAAGGCCCUAAGCAACUCAGGGAGACCCUGUCUCUA
rnacentral:sRNA from 1 species